CUGUUUCGCGAAGUUUGCUACAUAAAAAAACUUUCAAGUAAGAGAACUGUACGUAAUAUACAAAAGAAUGGCUGAGAACCAAAAAAAAAAAAAUCUACAUGACUACAUGCAGUCUACAUGGCCUUUACCAAAUUAUACCGAAAAAUAUAUGCUUUGUGACGCAGCCAGGAGCAGGAGUAUGGGGGUGCAAAGUAUGCAGCUUAGCUACAACUGAAACAUUUAGCAAGGGUCUUAUAUUUUCACAAUAUUAUAAUCUAUACUCUAUAUAAUUAGAGAACCUACAUAAGAAAAAAAAUUCUCUUUUAAUUGAUAGCCUAAUUAAAAACAAUUGAGUGUAAUUUUAAUUAAAAAAAAUAUUAAAUUUUUAUUUUUUUAAGUGGACCACUUAAAGAGAAUUAAAUGGGCCACAAUCUCAGAGCCCAUAUAUUGCAUGGGCUAAAUGGCUAGUUAAUAUUCAUACGUACUAGAAAAAUAAUGCAUGUUUUUGGAUCUUGGGGAGGGGGUUGCGUUGCUGGGCACCCAACACCCAAGUCCCAAGAUCUAUCUUGGCAUGCAACUGUGACUUGAUCAUAUAUCAUAUAUAUUCUAGCACACAAAACAUACAACAGUUCACCAUUAGAAAUCAUAAAUCAUUACUUACCUGUACUACAAAUUAGUGAUGAUAUUUUAGAGCUUACGAUGGAUGACACGUACUUGCGCAAACUUAUGUUUCCACAAAACUUCAAAGGCUGAAGACUAGAACAGUUAAUUUUCUUUUCGCAGAAGAACAUUGAUCGAACAGUAGUUAAUAUUAUGGUUUAGAGAAAGGGGAAAGCUUGUGUUAAGAUAUAAGAACUGCCAAAUUUUUAUUUGGAAAAAAAAAAUUGUCAAGUUCUAUUUCAAAUAGACUUGGAGUUCUCUUACCAAUCACCAAUGCAACCGCAACUUGUAUUUGCGUUUAAGAAAUUUUUUAUAGAGUUUGGGUAUUAUUUAGUUUAUUACAUAAAUACCCAAAAAUCGUUACUAUGUACUAUAAAUAUUGUAUUACGGUGGGGUUUACAUAAGAUUUUACACAUAAUUGUACUCGAGAUCUAAACCCUCAAUAACUAUUAAUCCAACGGUAUUAAUACAUGCAUAGCUGGCCAAAUUACUAAUCCCCAGAAAUUAGCGAAAACAAUCUUUUGCUAAUUUGGUAAUUGGUUCUUCUUUUCUCUCUCUCUCUCUCUCGUAUUGGUUUGGUUUCUCUUCUUCCUUCUAAAGUUUACAGAAUUUUCUUGCUCCCUAUUACUAUUUAGUAUAAGAAAUAUAAGAAAGUUUCUAUUUAGUAUUUACAAUACUCCAUCAUGUCUCUCAAUCAAACUCACCACUCAAACUUGAUUCGAUACCACCAGCAUAUGUAACGAGUUUAUAGAAAUUAAAAGUAAUCUGAAGUUGGAAUUUGCAGAAAAAAAGUAAGUAAUUAAUUGAGUUCUUAUUUUUUUUCUCUCAAAUUAAGCUUGCUUUUUGUUUAAGAAUUUUAGUAGAGAAGUACGUUAUGAUAAUGUUGUGGUACAUGGUCAUGUUGACGACUUGCUAGUUUUAUUAACCAUUGGCAAAUAUAGGAAAUUUGUAUGAUAAAACUUGGAGUCUUAUUGAAGUACUUCAUCUUGUUGAAGAUUUUAUACGCUUUAAUGGUCAAUUUUAUGGAGUUGAUGAAUUUGGAAAUUUAAAACUUUGGGACUUUAGUUGUCCUCAUCCUGUAUUUGUCGAUUUUGCAAAUCAUCCAGAAGGUGCACAAUGUGGUGAGAGAUUUUAUUUACUAGAAUUGGGAGGGGAAUUGCACAUGGUUAUAAGGCUUCAUGAUCCUAAUCCACUUAGAUACCCGCAGCCUAUUGAAUUUCCUCAUCGUACCAAAUCGAUAUUUUUUGAUAUUCUUAAGUUCGAUUUCUACACCCGCAAGUGGGAAUCUCUGGAAACUUUAGGUGACCAUGCUAUCUUCAUAGGAAGCAAUACCACAUUUGGGUUCAAAGCUUCUGAUUAUCCUGGCUGCAAGCCUGAUUGUAUCUACUUCACUGAUGACUAUGAUGGAUAUUUCGGAAGAUUACUUGGUGCAGAUAUAGGAAUUUACAAUCUUAAAGUUGGCUUUGGCACAAUCGAGCCUUUGUAUGAAGGUAAUGACAUUUUUUCAUGGUUUUCUCCACCAGUUUGGAUUAUCCCAAAUCCAUUUUAAAGCAGAUUGUAUGGUUUUGUUUAUCUAUCUUAUUUAUUCCGUGAAAAUUGUCUUCAACCUUACUCCUAAGUUGAUAUUCCCUGUGAUUGGAAGUUUAAGUUGUGAACUAUCAGGAUUUCAAUACUACAUGUAUGUGAAUAUUUUUUCUUACUUUAAUGCACUUUGCAUAUUUGAGUAUUUGUUAUUUACGACGGGUAAUUACAAUUUACCUAAUUUUUUUCUUAUGAAAAUAUGUCAGAAUUCACAAUGUUUUUUCA
rnacentral:lncRNA from 1 species